UGGGGAAUAUUGCGCAAUGGGGGGAACCCUGACGCAGCCAUGCCGCGUGAAUGAAGAAGGCCUUCGGGUUGUAAAGUUCUUUCGGUAUUGAGGAAGGUUGAUGUGUUAAUAGCACAUCAAAUUGACGUUAAAUACAGAAGAAGCACCGGCUAACUCCGUGCCAGCAGCCGCGGUAAUACGGAGGGUGCGAGCGUUAAUCGGAAUAACUGGGCGUAAAGGGCACGCAGGCGGUUAUUUAAGUGAGGUGUGAAGGCCCCGGGCUUAACCUGGGAAUUGCAUUUCAGACUGGGUAACUAGAGUACUUUAGGGAGGGGUAGAAUUCCACGUGUAGCGGUGAAAUGCGUAGAGAUGUGGAGGAAUACCGAAGGCGAAGGCAGCCCCUUGGGAAUGUACUGACGCUCAUGUGCGAAAGCGUGGGGAGCAAACAGGAUUAGAUACCCUGGUAGUCCACGCUGUAAACGCUGUCGAUUUGGGGGUUGGGGUUUAACUCUGGCGCCCGUAGCUAACGUGAUAAAUCGACCGCCUGGGGAGUACGGCCGCAAGGUUA
rnacentral:rRNA from 1 species